rnacentral:rRNA from 1 species
GACGUAGGGGGCCAGCGUUGUUCGGAAUUACUGGGUGUAAAGGGUUCGUAGGCGGUGUGGCAAGUCGGGCGUGAAAUCUCUGGGCUCAACUCAGAGACUGCUUCCGAAACUGCUGUGCUGGAGUGUGGGAGAGGCGCGUGGAAUUGCAGGUGUAGCGGUGAAAUGCGUAGAUAUCUGCAGGAACACCCGUGGCGAAAGCGGCGCGCUGGACCACUACUGACGCUGAGGAACGAAAGCUAGGGGAGCAAACAGG